AGAGACAAGCUUCAAGCUCUUGUCACAGCCCAACUGUUGGCCAGAUUCUUCUCCCAGCGACGUAACCAGGGGCCGGGUCUUCCUGGCAUCAGGCAAACCCAGGGCCUGCCGGAGGGGCCGGGGCGCUGUGCCCCCAUCCCCGCGUCCCCACGGGAUGCCAGCUCCUCUGGCAGGAGGCUGCUCUGAGCUCUGGCUGCCGGGACGCUUACAAAGUUGCAUAUUUGGGGAAUGUUUCACACUGGGAAGCAGGCCAGGCAUUCUGAAGAGAGGCCGCCUGCCACCCCCGCCUGAAAAGGUCUCAUUCAAUUGCUUCAAAGAAUAAGUUCCCAGGAAAGAAAGACAAGCCGGUUGCAGCGCUCUCUCCACCAUUACAGAUCGCAUGCUACAGAAACAGCUUGCUGGGGAACCAUCAGGCAGCCCCACGAAUAGGAAGACGCUGACCACGGCUGGAUUCAAAGUCACCCGGUCCUGAGGCACAGCCGCGACCAAACCUCCGUAAACUUGGCAUCUUCCCUCUUACACAGCUGACGCUUCUCUCCCACACCCAUCAGCCCAGAACACAGUGACUGAAGCGGCUGUAACAUCUCUGUCCGGGGCCAGAGCAACACCCAAAACUGUCAGCCCAGUUAGGCAGCUGCUGAAUGAAGCAGCCUGGCCCAACAGAGAGAAUGCUGGACGAAACGCUGCAGCUGCGCUGAGAAAGGGGGAAAGCCCUUGACGAAGAUAAUAGCUAGUAAAGCUAAAUAAAACCUUUUAAACUGUC